rnacentral:rRNA from 1 species
AACGAACGCUGGCGGCAUGCCUAACACAUGCAAGUCGAACGAGACCUUCGGGUCUAGUGGCGCACGGGUGCGUAACGCGUGGGAACCUGCCCUUAGGUUCGGAAUAACUCCCCGAAAGGGGUGCUAAUACCGGAUAAUGUCUUCGGACCAAAGAUUUAUCGCCUUUGGAUGGGCCCGCGUUGGAUUAGCUAGUUGGUAGGGUAAAAGCCUACCAAGGCUACGAUCCAUAGCUGGUCUGAGAGGAUGAUCAGCCACACUGGGACUGAGACACGGCCCAGACUCCUACGGGAAGCAGCAGUGGGGAAUAUUGGACAAUGGGCGAAAGGCUGAUCCAGCAAUGCCGCGUGAGUGAUGAAGGCCUUAGGGUUGUAAAGCUCGUUUACCCGGGAUGAUAAUGACAGUACCGGGAGAAUAAGCUCCGGCUAACUCCGUG